rnacentral:misc_RNA from 1 species
GAUGAAGAACGUAGCGAAAUGCGAUACGUAAUGUGAAUUGCAAAUUCAGUGAAUCAUCGAGUCUUUGAACGCACAUUGCGCCCCCUGGUAUUCCGGGGGGCAUGCCUGUCCGAGCGUCAUUGCUGCCCUCAAGCACGGCUUGUGUGUUGGGCCCCGUCCUCCGAUCCCGGGGGACGGGCCCGAAAGGCAGCGGCGGCACCGCGUCCGGUCCUCGAGCGUAUGGGGGUUUGUCACCCGCUCUGUAGGCCCGGCCGGCGCUUGCCGAUCAACCCAAAUUUUUAUCCAGGUUGACCUCGGAUCAGGUAGGGAUACCCGCUGAACUUAAGCAUAUCAAUAAGCGGAGGA